GUACUGCUGAGGAGUCCCAUAGUAAGACGAAACGGCUGUCCAGUGC
rnacentral:hammerhead_ribozyme from 1 species